AAGAAGGCCUUCGGGUUGUAAAGCUCUUUUGUCCGGGAAGAAACGGUGGCUUCAAAUAAAGGUCAUUAAUGACGGUACCGGAAGAAUAAGCACCGGCUAACUACGUGC
rnacentral:rRNA from 1 species